UACGGAGGGCGCAAGCGUUGUUCGGAAUUACUGGGAGUAAAGCGCGUGUAGGUGGCCUGAAAAGGCGGGUGUGAAAUCCCGGAGCUCAACUCCGGAACUGCAUCCGAUACUGGCAGGCUCGAGUCUCGGAGAGGAUGGCGGAAUUUCCGGUGUAGAGGUGAAAUUCGUAGAUAUCGGAAGGAACACCAGUGGCGAAGGCGGCCGUCUGGACGAUGACUGACACUGAGACGCGAAAGCGUGGGGAGCAAACAGG
rnacentral:rRNA from 1 species